GGAGGCGUAAGGGCGCCUGGUGGCCCUCCCGGUCUUCAAAACCGAGGUGUCCGAGCAACUCGGGCAGGUGGGUUCGAUUCCCAUCCGCCUCCGC
rnacentral:tRNA from 1 species